rnacentral:lncRNA from 1 species
UCGUUGUUGUCUUUGAGUAAUCUAAUUCUCUAUUAUGGCUUUUCAGUUGCGACAACUUAUAUUCAAGUGUGUUCACCUUCUGAUAUAUGUUACCCUGUUUUUUAUUGCUAAGCUGUAGGCUGUGAACCUUCAAACGAUGCAUUAGAUGGGGCGACAGUGCACAAACCACAUGCACGCUUAUCCACAAUCGAUAAUGACGUGAUCGAUAGUGGCUCAUCAUUGAACUAAUGUCAUUAUUGGCCUUUUAAUAAUCCCGGGUACAACUCUACAGAAUUCCCAAACCCGGUUGUAGAGCAUCAUGAAGCUACAUUAUCGGCCCCAAGUAUACUAACAACACAAUCUUGCACAGAUGGUAAUGGUACUUACUCAUCUGCAAUUAUGAUGACAAGAAUCAUAGCUCCAUGUAUUUUCUCCUAAAUAACAUUGUGAAUAUUUUCCUACUUGUAUCAACUCUACGGUUGGAUCAUUAUCACAACUGGCUGGGGAUCAGCAUGAUUCUUCGUUGUUUUCUUUGAGUAAUCUAAUUCUCUAUUCUGGCAUUUCAGUUGCACUGACUUAUAUUCAAGUAGGUUCACCUUCAUUUACAUGUUACCCUGGUUUUUUUUGCUAAGAUGUAGGCUAUGAACCUCCAAACGAUGCAUUACAUGGGGCGACAGUGGUAAAAGGUAUGCACAUGCACGCUUCUCCACAAUUGAUACUGACAUGAUCGGUAGUGGCUCAUCAUUUAACAUAUGUGUUUUCUGCACUAUCUGGUUAGUAGUUAUUAAUUUUGACAUGAUGCAAACUAUGUCAAUUGCAUAGACUACGCUGAGACAACAAAGGAGCAGUUCAACGCACAAAGGCGUGGUGCUUAUCGAAAAAGGACCAGGAUACUGUGUUGUUGCGAGAGGUUCAUCAGCCCUCCUAGACAAAUUCUGGUGAGUUCUUUAACAUGACUGUGCUGACUAAGAUUUGCAUUUGGUAUGAAUGUGAUAUAAGUGAGUUGUCAAACUAACCUUAAUAGAAAAGUGGGCCUUAUUUCAUUCACUAACUACUAUACAAUCGAUUCAUUUUGUAGAUCAUAGGGAACUUAACAACGCGUGGAGGCAAGCAUCUUAUCGCAUUAGCAAGACAGAAAAUUUGAAAAAACAACAAAACGAUGUGCACAUCGUUCAACGACGUACCCUAGGUGAUAUCACGAACGCUCGUCAACCUACUACUGCGAUAGCAGGUACAUCAGCUACUCAUGGUAUAUAUAAGAGCAAGGUCAUAGUACCGUUGAUAUAUGAAGUCAGAAUACUCACCACGCAUGUUGAACUAGAUGAGUUGAUUGAGACCAAAGAGAAUCUGCAUAGAACGGAAGAAGAUCGCAAAAGAGACCAUAGAAACGCGCUGAGGAGAGCAUCUUAUCAGCGGAAAAAGGAUCGGGAUCUGCAAGAAGAGAAUUUCCGGGCCCUUAAUUUAUCUGGUAGGAUUUAAAUCUUCUAACCAAUAUUAAGAGUACUAGUAGACUAAAGUUUUUACCAAUAAUUAUGAGUAUGUAUUAUUAACAUCUUGCUACCAGACAACCCAUAUAGCUCCGACUAUAUAACAUUGGUGAAUAAUGAAACAGUUUUCACUGCUACAACUACGGUCACAUCUGGUCUGGUUUAUGACAAUACUUUUAAAGGUAAACAACUUGAGCAUGAUAUGCCAUCAAGCUAGGUCAGAUUACGUUUUGCUCUUUACAUUUAUACUAUGCCAUGAAUGACAGCAGACGAUCACUUCAAUGUUCUUGAAGAAAUCAGUCAAUUGAUCGAGGAAGAGCGGAAGAGAGAUCAUAGAAAUGCACUGAGAAGAGCUUCUUAUCGGAGGAAAAAGGAUCAGCUGGCAGCAAAUGGAAAUAAAAACCCGCUGUCUACAUCAGGUAAGACAAUGCCUUUAGUUUAACGUUGAAGUAAUCAUUUUUUUCCUCAUGCCUGCAUAUUCUUUUAGAGAAUACUAAGCACGCAACAUACCGUGAAAUGCUUGAUCUUAAUGCACAUGAUCUAUAUUUGAGUAGCAACAAAAAGUAGUAAUAUUCAUUAUCCGUUGUUGUCUUUUGAUUAAUCUAAUACUCGAUUCUGACAUUUCAGUUGCACUAACUUAUAUUCAAGUGUGUUCACCUUCAUUUACAUGUUACCCUAGUUUUUUUUAUUGCUAAGAUGUAGGCAGUGAACCUCCAAAUGAUGCAUUAGAUGGGGCAACAGUGGUAAAAGGUAUGCACAUGCACGCUUUUCCACAAUCGAUACGGACGUGAUCGGCAGUGGCUCAUCAUUUAACAUAUGUGUUUUGUGCACUAUCUGGUUAGUAUUUAUUAAUUUUGACAUGGUGCAAACUACAUCAAUUGCAUAGACUACGCUGAGACAACAAAGGAGCAGUUCAACACACAAAGGCGUGGUGCUUAUCGGAAAAAAAGGACCAGGAUACUGUGUUGUUGCAAGAGGUUCAUCAGCCCUCCUUGACAAAUUCUGGUUAGUUCUUUAACAUGACUGUCUUGACUAAGAUUUGCAUUUGGUAUGAAUGUGAUAUAAGUGAGUUGUCAACCUAACCUCAAUAGAAAAGUGGGCCUUAUUUCAUUCACUAACUACUAUACAAUCGAUUCAUCCUGUAGAUCAUAGGGAACUUAACAAAUGCUUGAUCUUAAUGCACAUGAUCUAUAUUUGAGUAGCAACAAGAAGUAGUAAUAUUCAUUAUCCACUACAUCAGACUGUUUUAAUUACGUUUUCACAACAUUUUUCAUAAAG